UACUCGAGUGGCGAACGGGUGAGUAACACGUGGGUGAUCUGCCCUGCACUUCGGGAUAAGCCUGGGAAACUGGGUCUAAUACCGGAUAGGAGCCAUUUUUAGUGUGAUGGUUGGAAAGUUUUUUCGGUGUAGGAUGAGCUCGCGGCCUAUCAGCUUGUUGGUGGGGUAAUGGCCUACCAAGGCGGCGACGGGUAGCCGGCCUGAGAGGGUGGACGGCCACAUUGGGACUGAGAUACGGCCCAGACUCCUACGGGAGGCAGCAGUGGGGAAUAUUGCACAAUGGGCGCAAGCCUGAUGCAGCGACGCCGCGUGGGGGAUGACGGCCUUCGGGUUGUAAACUCCUUUCGCUAGGGACGAAGCUUUUUGUGACGGUACCUAGAUAAGAAGCACCGGCUAACUACGUGCCAGCAGCCGCGGUAAUACGUAGGGUGCGAGCGUUGUCCGGAAUUACUGGGCGUGAAGGGCUCGUAGGUGGUUUGUCGCGUCGUCUGUGAAAUUCCGGGGCUUAACUCCGGGCGUGCAGGCGAUACGGGCAUAACUUGAGUACUGUAGGGGUAACUGGA
rnacentral:rRNA from 1 species